GCUGUGGUCUGGCAGCUUCUGUUGAGGGGAAGAGAGAGCAGAAGUGCCGGUUGCAGGUCGAUGACCUCUCGUCAAAACACGGACAGAUUCAUUUCGUGUUUGUGGGUCAUGUGCCGUGAGUCUGAACAUCCAAAACUCGAUAGAGUUGGACAUCUGGUGAUAGCCACGCUGAGAAGAGAGAGAGAGAGAGUUCCCAGGUGCACAGAUUCAGAGUUAAAGAACAUUUAGCUUCUGGAAAGUUCCUACCAUCAGUGACUCCACUUAAGAUGCUAGCGAAGAACAGGUUGGACUCCACAACCAUGGGAACAAUUGAAAGAAAUUUGAAGGGGCAACUUUGCUGAAAGUGAUUGUUGCUCCAGACUCCAAGAAGAAUUGAAUUUAGUGAAAUAUCCACCAUGUAAACUCAACAUCUUUCCUGUUGCUGAUGUUCAAGCUAUGAUAUGUCUGCAC